CUACGGGUGGCAGCAGUGAGGAAUAUUGCACAAUGGGGGAAACCCUGAUGCAGCAACGCCGCGUGGAGGAUGACGCAUUUCGGUGUGUAAACUCCUUUUAUAUGUCAAGAAAAUGACGGUAGCAUAUGAAUAAGCACCGGCUAACUCCGUGCCAGCAGCCGCGGUAAUACGGAGGGUGCAAGCGUUACUCGGAAUCACUGGGCGUAAAGGACGCGUAGGCGGGUUGGUAAGUCAGGUGUGAAAUCCUACAGCUUAACUGUAGAACUGCACUUGAAACUACCAACCUAGAGUAUGGGAGGGGGAGAUGGAAUUAGUGGUGUAGGGGUAAAAUCCGUAGAUAUCACUAGGAAUACCGAAAGCGAAGGCGAUCUCCUGGAACAUAACUGACGCUAAGGCGUGAAAGCGUGGGGAGCAAACAGGAUUAGAUACCCCUGUAGUC
rnacentral:rRNA from 1 species